rnacentral:rRNA from 1 species
GACAGAGGGUGCAAACGUUGUUCGGAAUUACUGGGCAUAAAGAGCACGUAGGUGGUGCGCUAAGUCACGUGUGAAAUCCCCCGGCUCAACCGGGGAAUGGCGCGUGAUACUGGCGGACUCGAGGCGGGUAGGGGUGAGCGGAACUCCAGGUGGAGCGGUGAAAUGCGUAGAUAUCAUGAGGAAUACCAGAGGCGAAGGCGGCUACCUGGACAAUUGCUGACGCUCAGGCACGAAAGCGUGGGGAGCAAAAGGG